UGUUUCUAGGAAGACUGUAUCACAGGUUUAUAUUGUUGACAUAUUUGAAAGGAACUUUCUAAGUUGUGAUGACACAAUGCAGAAUCUACUCUGGAAGAGUACAUAAGAAUGUAAAAGUGUUUAUUUAAGGAAAGGCUAAGAGGGUCAAAUAAAAAUGUAACAUAAUAGGAAGCAAUAGUGAGAUGGCUCAGUGGGUGAAGUACUUGUCACACAGAGUUAAGAAGGUUGGAAUUCACAGAAUCAUGUAAAGAUGGCUGUGCCAGCAUGAAUUCUUAGUCCCAACACAUUUACUGAGAGGACAUUGGGGUCCACAUGGACUGCUCUAGUGACUAUUUCCUGACUCGGAGUUCCUCGGUCAACAGUUGAUAUGUCUCUUUGCUGGGUGAUGAAUGAUUGUAGCCAAUGAUGAAAUACUUUGCUUUAAGUGGUUGCCACUGAAGUCAAAAGUCCCAAUUGUUCAUUUACCCCAAAUGUUUUGAAGAGAAAAAAAGAACUAUGUUGCACAGUUUUGCUUUCUUCUUGAAGGUCAUUGUCCUUGGCCAUGGAGGACACCAAGGAGCAGUUGUCAGUGCAUCACCUCUCGUGUCCAGAUAAAGCAUGGUGACC